rnacentral:rRNA from 1 species
AGUGAACGCUGGCGGUAGGCCUAACACAUGCAAGUCGAACGGCAGCACAGUAAGAGCUUGCCCUUACGGGUGGCGAGUGGCGGACGGGUGAGGAAUACAUCGGAAUCUACUUUUUCGUGGGGGACAACGUAGGGAAACUUACGCUAAUACCGCAUACGACCUACGGGUGAAAGCAGGGGAUCUUCGGACCUUGCGCGAUUGAAUGAGCCGAUGUCGGAUUAGCUAGUUGGCGGGGUAAAGGCCCACCAAGGCGACGAUCCGUAGCUGGUCUGAGAGGAUGAUCAGCCACACUGGAACUGAGACACGGUCCAGACUCCUACGGGAGGCAGCAGUGGGGAAUAUUGGACAAUGGGCGCAAGCCUGAUCCAGCCAUACCGCGUGGGUGAAGAAGGCCUUCGGGUUGUAAAGCCCUUUUGUUGGGAAAGAAAAGCAGCAGGUUAAUACCCCGCUGUUCUGACGGUACCCAAAGAAUAAGCACCGGCUAACUUCGUG